CCCUGUGAACAUACCUAUAACGUUGCCUCGGCGGGAACAGACGGCCCCGUAACACGGGCCGCCCCCGCCAGAGGACCCCCUAACUCUGUUUCUAUAAUGUUUCUUCUGAGUAAACAAGCAAAUAAAUUAAAACUUUCAACAACGGAUCUCUUGGCUCUGGCAUCGAUGAAGAACGCAGCGAAAUGCGAUAAGUAAUGUGAAUUGCAGAAUUCAGUGAAUCAUCGAAUCUUUGAACGCACAUUGCGCCCGCCAGUAUUCUGGCGGGCAUGCCUGUUCGAGCGUCAUUACAACCCUCAGGCCCCCGGGCCUGGCGUUGGGGAUCGGCGGAAGCCCCCUGCGGGCACAACGCCGUCCCCCAAAUACAGUGGCGGUCCCGCCGCAGCUUCCAUUGCGUAGUAGCUAACACCUCGCAACUGGAGAGCGGCGCGGCCACGCCGUAAAACACCCAACUUCUGAAUGUUGACCUCGAAUCAGGUAGGAAUACCCGCUGAACUUAAGCA
rnacentral:rRNA from 1 species